CCUUCAGGUGAACCAAUGAAUGCCCAUACAUCGUUGAUCUUUAUGGACUUCAGUUCAGAUUUAAUGGCUCCAAGCCACUUCUCAAUGUUAGAUCCCUGUAUUGUAUCCGUAUGAAAGAUCAAAUCUCCAUCUCGAAUCUAAAAAUCAAAGUAUCUAUUCGGCUGAUACGGUACUCUACUAUAUCUAUUCACAGAUGCCUC
rnacentral:lncRNA from 1 species